GGCCAAGUUUUUAAGGGCGCACGGUGGAUGCCUUGGCACCAGGAACCGAUGAAGGACGUGGGAGGCCACGAUAGUCCCCGGGGAGUCGUCAACCAGGCUUUGAUCCGGGGGUUUCCGAAUGGGGAAACCCGGCAGUCGUCAUGGGCUGUCACCCUUGUCUGAACACAUAGGGCAAGUGGAGGGAACGCGGGGAAGUGAAACAUCUCAGUACCCGCAGGAAGAGAAAACAACCGUGAUUCCGGGAGUAGUGGCGAGCGAAACCGGAUGAGGCCAAACCGUAUGCGUGUGAGACCCGGCAGGGGUUGCGUAUACGGGGUUGUGGGAUCUCUCUUUCAUGGUCUGCCGGCCGUGAGACGAGUCAGAAACCGUUGAUGUAGGCGAAGGACAUGCGAAAGGUCCGGCGUAGAGGGUAAGACCCCCGUAGCUGAAACAUUAGCGGCUCGUUUGAGAGACACCCAAGUAGCACGGGGCCCGAGAAAUCCCGUGUGAAUCUGGCGGGACCACCCGCUAAGCCUAAAUAUUCCCUGGUGACCGAUAGCGGAUAGUACCGUGAGGGAAUGGUGAAAAGUACCGCGGGAGCGGAGUGAAAUAGUACCUGAAACCGUGUGCCUACAAGCCGUGGGAGCGUCGGACAUCAGCUUGCUGGUGUCUCGUGACUGCGUGCCUUUUGAAGAAUGAGCCUGCGAGUUUGCGGUGUGUUGCGAGGUUAACCCGUGUGGGGAAGCCGUAGCGAAAGCGAGUCCGAACAGGGCGUUUCAGUAGCAUGCUCAAGACCCGAAGCGGAGUGAUCUAGCCAUGGGCAGGUUGAAGCGGAGGUAAGACUUCGUGGAGGACCGAACCCACCAGGGUUGAAAACCUGGGGGAUGACCUGUGGUUAGGGGUGAAAGGCCAAUCAAACUCCGUGAUAGCUGGUUCUCCCCGAAAUGCAUUUAGGUGCAGCGUCGUGUGUUUCUUGCCGGAGGUAGAGCACUGGAUAGGCGAUGGGCCCUACCGGGUUACUGACCUUAGCCAAACUCCGAAUGCCGGUAAGUGAGAGCGCGGCAGUGAGACUGUGGGGGAUAAGCUCCAUGGUCGAGAGGGAAACAGCCCAGAGCAUCGACUAAGGCCCCUAAGCGUACGCUAAGUGGGAAAGGAUGUGGAGUCGCACAGACAACCAGGAGGUUGGCUUAGAAGCAGCCACCCUUGAAAGAGUGCGUAAUAGCUCACUGGUCUAGUGAUUCCGCGCCGACAAUGUAGCGGGGCUCAAGCGUACCGCCGAAGUCGUGUCAUUGCAGCAUGAGGGCCAACGCCCGCUGUGAUGGGUAGGGGAGCGUCGUCUGCCGGGUGAAGCAGCCGCGGAAGCGAGUUGUGGACGGUUGACGAGUGAGAAUGCAGGCAUGAGUAGCGAUACACACGUGGGAAACGUGUGCGCCGAUUGACUAAGGGUUCCUGGGUCAAGCUGAUCUGCCCAGGGUAAGUCGGGACCUAAGGCGAGGCCGACAGGCGUAGUCGAUGGAUAACCGGUUGAUAUUCCGGUACCCGCUGUGAAGCGUCAAACAUCGAGCAUCGUGAUGCUAAGGCCGUGAAGCCGCCCUGAUCUCUUCGGAGUUGAGGGGAGUGGUGGAGCCGCCGGACCAAGCGGUUAGUAGGUGAGUGAUGGGGUGACGCAGGAAGGUAGUCCAUCCCGGGCGAUGGUAGUCCCGGGG
rnacentral:rRNA from 1 species